ACACAGGGGAGGUGUUAUCAGUGAUCAAUAUCAUUCUGUGUGUAAGUUUUUAUACAUAGAAAGCUAUCAGUCACUGAUCGUUGUACACAGAGGAGGUGUUAUCAGUGAUUGAGAGCAUUCUGUGUGUAAGUGUGUACAUACAUAGAAAGCUGUCAGUCACUGAUA